UGCCCAGCAACUCCUAUCCCUACCUCCUCGUGGUACCGGCCGGAAACUAUGAGCAACCUUAGGGAAGAUCGGGUAACCAACCCCGGUGGGAACUUUGGUCUUUGGCUGACAGGAAAGG
rnacentral:ribozyme from 1 species